AAGACCUUUGCGCUUUUGGAGCGGCCGAUGCCUGAUUAGCUUGUUGGUAAGGUAAAAGCUUACCAAGGCUUCGAUCAGUAGCUGGUCUGAGAGGACGACCAGCCACACUGGGACUGAGACACGGCCCAGACUCCUACGGGAGGCAGCAGUGGGGAAUUUUGGACAAUGGGGGCAACCCUGAUCCAGCCAUGCCGCGUGAGUGAAGAAGGCCUUCGGGUUGUAAAGCUCUUUCAGCCGGAACGAAACGGUUACGGUUAAUACCCGUGACUACUGACGGUACCGGAAGAAGAAGCACCGGCUAACUACGUGCCAGCAGCCGCGGUAAUACGUAGGGUGCGAGCGUUAAUCGGAAUUACUGGGCGUAAAGCGUGCGCGGGUGGUUUUGUAAGUCAGAUGUGAAAGCCCCGGGCUCAACCUGGGAACU
rnacentral:rRNA from 1 species